ACUUACCUACGGGGGGCAGCAGUGAGGAAUAUUGGUCAAUGGCCGGAAGGCUGAACCAGCCAAGCCGCGUGAAGGACGAAGGUGCCAAGCAUUGUAAACUUCUUUUGUCAAGGGACAAAAUCAGGCUCGAGAGCCUGACCGAGGGUACUUGAAGAAAAAGCAUCGGCUAACUCCGUGCCAGCAGCCGCGGUAAUACGGAGGAUGCGAGCGUUAUCCGGAUUUAUUGGGUUUAAAGGGUGCGUAGGCGGGCUGUUAAGUCAGCGGUAAAAGCCCGGGGCUCAACCCCGGGACUGCAUUGGAAACUA
rnacentral:rRNA from 1 species